rnacentral:rRNA from 1 species
UACGAAGGGGGCUAGCGUUGUUCGGAAUUACUGGGCGUAAAGCGUAUGCGGGCGGACUUUUAAGUCGGGGGUGAAAUCCCGAGGCUCAACCUCGGAACUGCCUUCGAUACUGGAAGUCUUGAGUCCGGGAGAGGUGAGUGGAACUCCGAGUGUAGAGGUGAAAUUCGUAGAUAUUCGGAAGAACACCAGUGGCGAAGGCGGCUCACUGGCCCGGUACUGACGCUGAGAUACGAAAGCGUGGGGAGCAAACAGG